GAUGAACGCUGGCGGCGUGCCUAAUACAUGCAAGUCGAGCGAACAGACGAGGAGCUUGCUCCUCUGACGUUAGCGGCGGACGGGUGAGUAACACGUGGAUAACCUACCUAUAAGACUGGGAUAACUUCGGGAAACCGGAGCUAAUACCGGAUAAUAUAUUGAACCGCAUGGUUCAAUAGUGAAAGACGGUUUUGCUGUCACUUAUAGAUGGAUCCGCGCCGCAUUAGCUAGUUGGUAAGGUAACGGCUUACCAAGGCAACGAUGCGUAGCCGACCUGAGAGGGUGAUCGGCCACACUGGAACUGAGACACGGUCCAGACUCCUAAGGGAGGCAGCAGUAGGGAAUCUUCCGCAAUGGGCGAAAGCCUGACGGAGCAACGCCGCGUGAGUGAUGAAGGUCUUCGGAUCGUAAAACUCUGUUAUUAGGGAAGAACAAAUGUGUAAGUAACUAUGCAAGUCUUGACGGUACCUAAUCAGAAAGCCACGGCUAACUACGUG
rnacentral:rRNA from 1 species